GACGAACGCUGGCGGCGUGCCUAAUACAUGCAAGUAGAACGCACAGUUUAUACCGUAGCUUGCUACACCAUAAACUGUGAGUUGCGAACGGGUGAGUAACGCGUAGGUAACCUGCCUGGUAGCGGGGGAUAACUAUUGGAAACGAUAGCUAAUACCGCAUAAUAUUGAUUAUUGCAUGAUAAUUGAUUGAAAGAUGCUAUUGCAUCACUACCAGAUGGACCUGCGUUGUAUUAGCUAGUAGGUGAGGUAACGGCUCACCUAGGCGACGAUACAUAGCCGACCUGAGAGGGUGAUCGGCCACACUGGGGCUGAGACACGGCCCAGACUCCUACGGGAGGCAGCAGUAGGGAAUCUUCGGCAAUGGACGAAAGUCUGACCGAGCAACGCCGCGUGAGUGAAGAAGGUUGUCGGAUCGUAAAGCUCUGUUGUAAGAGAAGAACGGGUGUGAGAGUGGAAAGUUCACACUGUGACGGUAUCUUACCAGAAAGGGACGGCUAACUACGUG
rnacentral:rRNA from 1 species